GUGCAAAGGUAGCAUAAUCAUUAGGUUUUUAAUUGGAAUCUUGUAUGAAUGAUUGGACAAGAGAAGUACUGUCUUUGUAUUGAAACUUGAAUUUAACUUUUAAGUGAAAAGGCUUAAAUAUACUAAAGGGACGAUAAGACCCUAUAAAACUUUACAUUUAUGUUAAAUUUUAUGGAAUUUGAAAUUAUAAUUAUUAAGUUUAAUUUUUUGUUAUGUUGGGGAGACAAAAGCUAUAAUUAUGUAUNACUGCUUUUAAAAGAAACAAAAAUAAAUGGGGAGAGUUAAAGAUCCUUUAUUGAGAUUGUAAGAUUAAGUUACUUUAGGGAUAACAGCGUUAUUUUUUUUGAGAGUUCAUAUUGAAAAAAAAGAUUGCGACCUCGAUGUUGAAUUAAAAUAUCUUU
rnacentral:rRNA from 1 species